rnacentral:misc_RNA from 1 species
AACGCACAUUGCGCCCGCCGGUAUUCCGGCGGGCAUGCCUGUUCGAGCGUCAUUUCACCACUCAAGCCCAGCUUGGUGUUGGGGCACCCGGCCCUCGCGGGUCCGGGGCCCCCAAGUACAUCGGCGGUCUCGCCUGGACCCUGAACGCAGUAACUCGCGGUAAAACGCGCUUCGUUUGGGUCUCCUGGCGGGCACCAGCCGCUAAACCCCUUUUUUCUAAGGUUGACCUCGGAUCAGGUAGGAAUACCCGCUGAACUUAA